rnacentral:rRNA from 1 species
GACAGAGGUGCCGAGCGUUAGGCGGAAUCACUGGGCUUAAAGCGUGUGUAGGCGGGGCGUUAAGUACCUUGUGAAAUCCCCCGGCUUAACCGGGGAACUGCUGGGUAUACUGGCGACCUUGAGCAAUCCAGGGGCGAGCGGAACAAGCGGUGGGGCGGUGAAAUGCGUAGAUAUCGCUUGGAACGCCGACGGUGAAAACAGCUCGCUGGGGAUUCGCUGACGCUGAGACACGAAAGCCAGGGGAGCAAACGGG